rnacentral:rRNA from 1 species
UUAUAUAAAAUAUGACAUUUUAUUUUAGAUGAUAGUAUGAUUUUCGUCGCAAAAUAUCUAGAGAGAAUUAUAAAAGAUAAGGAAAUUAGUAUAUAUAAUGAAAAAUAAGAACAAUCUUUUUUCUGUGUAGAUGUAAAAAAUUCAAGCAAAUUUAGUGCCAGCAGCUGCGGUUAUGCUAAAUGGGUAAAUUAUAAGGAUGAAAUAAAAAAUUGGAAGAAGGAUAGAUUAUUUGAGUUCAGAAAAAUCGCAGGGUUUGGGUGAAAUGAGAACUAGGGAAGAAAUGAGUGAUUAUAAAUGUUUAUAUUGAUUUGAAAAGGUUCGUGAAAAUCAGGAUUAGAUACCCUGUUAUGGAGAAGUAAGAGAGAUAUAAUAUUGGGGUAAUAAGAUAAAUUGAGUGAAACCUAAGAAAUUUGACGGUAUUUUUCCUGGUAGAGGAGCUUGAUCUAUAAACGACAGUCCGCGAAAUUCUUUCUUCUCGAAAAUAAUUCAUAUAUCUCCGUUUAAGAUUCUUUGAAUAAAGGUUUCUUAGGAAAAAUAAAAUUUAGAAAUUCAGGUCAAGGUGUGGUUUGUUGGGAAGUUUGAAUUGGGCUACAAGAAAUUAAAAAUAAGUGUUAAGUUGGUUUUUGAUAUUAAAAGUGAACUUAUAUGAAUGGAUUUACUAGUAAUGGAGAAAAAUUGAAUUGGGAAUUUUAAUGUGUACAUAUUGCCCGUCACUCUUAUUAGAGUAAGAAAAGUCGUAACAUAGUAGGGAUAUUGGAAAAUGUUUCUAGAAA